CAGUCGCCACGGUAAUACGAAGGGUGCAAGCGUUAAUCGGAAUUACUGGGCGUAAAACGUGCGUAGGCGGUGAGUUAAGUCUGCUGUGAAAUCCCCGGGCUCAACCUGGGAAUGGCAGUGGAUACUGGCUCGCUAGAGUAUGGCAGAGGGGGGUGGAAUUCCGCGUGUAGCAGUGAAAUGCGUAGAUAUGCGGAGGAACACCGAUGGCGAAGGCAGCCCCCUGGGCCAAUACUGACGCUCAUGCACGAAAGCGUGGGGAGCAAACAGGAUUAGAUACCCCAGUAGUCCCUGUCUCUUAUAC
rnacentral:rRNA from 1 species